rnacentral:tRNA from 1 species
GGAUUUAGCUCAGCUGGAGAGCAUCUUGCCUUACAAGCCAGAGGGUCACGGUUCGAUCCGUUAACUCCA